UGACCUCACUAUCUUUAGAUCAGCGUAGAUACCACUAUCGAACUUAUUUAAAUGCGACUAGACUCUGGCUUAACAAAAUAGUCGUUCUCCUGGUGUCACAUCGUGUUGAACAUAAAUUGUAAUAGUUUAGAGUGAAAAUAAUUGUUCCAAAUUACACCGUUCGUCAUGACAUGCAAUAGUGCAGUAAAAGUGUUGCUGUUGGUGCUGUUGUUUGCUGUUCAAAUCUUUCAAAUUACAACAGAGUUUAAUGCAGAAACUUCUGCAGGAAUAACUGUUCGAGCUGGUGACCCCUAACUACUGCAAUUGAGCUCAAACCCCACUCCAGACGUUCUAGCUGAAAUGGCUUUUACAGAUAACCCACUUCAGUGGCUGGGUCAAAACUCAAUUAGUAGUUUCCCUGUAAAUUGGUACUCAUCACGUAAUCCGCGUACGAGACUGAGUUUAAUCAAUGGCGGAAUAUAUUCGUUCCGGUUCACCAAGGUGGCCGAUAAGAAAUACGUUUACUAUGCCUCAUCGGAGUCAGAUGUUGGUGUCAGAGGCUACUGGUUGAGUACUGCCGAAAAAAUUUCCGUUUUACUCAAUGACGGACCUGCAUUCAUUUUUACCGGUGAACUUCAGGGAUGCUCAAUUCAUACAAGAAUUCUUUUCAAUAGUCGAUUGGAAGUAUUUCAUCGCAACCGACAGUAUCUCUAUCAAAUUUACGUCGAUGGUUACGGAAAUGCCAUAGAUGAAAGGGGUGAUGCAGUAAGAGAAUUGGAAGGUGUCACGAAAUUCUUGGAUAAAGACGGGAAAGAAAUUCAUGUAGUGCCAGAUGGUAAAAUUUCUCUAAAUAACGGCAUUUUAGACAAAAAUGGUCAUCGCGUAACAAAAAUUAAUGGGAUUGAAGUGGAAAAUUUGUUAAACGAUAAUUUAAACAGAGGAACGGACGAGAUGUGUCAAUUCCUCAACUAUGACUUAUCAGGCGGCAAAAGUAUGUGUCUUGGGCCGAAUACAAUGCCAAUCUUCCCGACAACUUUCUCGCAGUCGUUGCUGAUAGCCGUAACGGACCGAAAUUUACAACGCCGUUUCUGUUUCGUAAGAACCACAAGUGGGCGUUUGUAUCGCAACAAAUUCAGUAUAGUGGUUUAGGUGGUACAGGUUCUGGUUUCGGUAGCGACAAGAUGUACGAUUUCCAUUUCACUGGAUACGGUUAUUUUACAGAUUUACAUUAAACAUUGUCCACAUUUCACAUGUUUUUUGCUUCGAUUUGAUUUCUUCUUGAUGUAAUGAGUUAUAUUAGCUCUGUCAGCAGUUGAUUUUAGAAA